CGUAGGACGCGAGCGUUGUGCCGAAUUAUUGAACGUAAUGAGCUCGUAGGCGGCUGUUCGCGUCCGUCGUGAAAUCCUCUGACUUAACUGGGGACUUGCGGUGGGUACGGACCGGCCUGAGUGCGGUAGGGGAGACUGGAACUCCCUGUGUAGCGGUGGAAUGCGCAGAUAUCAGGAAGAACACCGGUGGCGAAGGCGGGUCUCUGGCCCGUUACUGACGCUGAGGAGCGAAAGCGUGGGGAGCAACAGGAUUAGAUACCCUGGUAGUCCACGCCGUAAACGUUGGGCACUAGGUGUGGGGGGCCUUUUCCGGGUCUUCCGCGCCGUAGCUAACGCAUUAAGUGCCCCGCCUGGGGAGUACGGCCGCAAGGCUAAAACUCAAAGGAAUUGACGGGGGCCCGCACAAGCGGCGGAGCAUGCGGAUUAAUUCGAUGCAACGCGAAGAACCUUACCAAGGCUUGACAUGUGCCGGUCGGCUCCGGAGACGGGGCUUCCUCCUUGUGGGGCCGGUUCACAGGUGGUGCAUGGUUGUCGUCAGCUCGUGUCGUGAGAUGUUGGGUUAAGUCCCGCAACGAGCGCAACCCUUGUCCCGUGUUGCCAGCACGUUGUGGUGGGGACUCGCGGGAGACUGCCGGGGUCAACUCGGAGGAAGGUGGGGAUGACGUCAAAUCAUCAUGCCCCUUAUGUCUUGGGCUUCACGCAUGCUACAAUGGCCGGUACAGAGGGCUGCGAUACCGUGAGGUGGAGCGAAUCCCUUAAAGCCGGUCUCAGUUCGGAUCGGUGUCUGCAACUCGACACCGUGAAGUUGGAGUCGCUAGUAAUCGCAGAUCAGCAACGCUGCGGUGAAUACGUUCUCGGGCCUUGUACACACCGCCCGUCACGUCAUGAAAGUCGGCAACACCCGAAGCCC
rnacentral:rRNA from 1 species